AGUUAAAUUUUUCAUUUUCUCAACUUUUUCUUAGUCUCUUAACCUUUUAAUCAUCAGCGAAUUUAAAUUAAUUUAAACUGAUUGCAAUCUCGUGUUGUUAACAAUCAUCUAAUCUAUUGGACAACCUCUACUUUUAAAGAUAAAUUUUCCUGGGAAAAUUUCUGUUUGGUUUCCAAAAAUGGUGAGAUAGACUUUUUAAAAUCUUUUCCAAUUGUUAUCUCCAUGGUCAUGGGUUAUCAAAAUGUCAUCCAGAAGGGUUCCAAUUGUUUGGUUUAAGCUGAUCCGGUUUAACUUGAUGAGGACGAAGUGUAAAAUCAAAAAAGCGACUCUCCAUGAUUAUAUGGGAUAAAUUAUCUGAUUGACCAACUGCAAGGAACAUAUUCUAAGAAAAAUGAAGAUAGUCAUCUAGUGAAUUGUUUCUCACCAUAAAAAAUAACUGAAUAAACCAUGAUGACAAAUAUGACAAAGAUGAAAAAUCAAAACAAUAUCAGCAGAUCCAUCAUUCAAUAAGAAGUUAACUCUAUGAUUGGAUUGAGGAAUUUUUGAAACGAAAUCAAGAAGAACAAUGAUGAGAAUUCAUGUCAAUCCAAUUCUCGCUGCAAACCUCAAGCCAUAAAUUGAGCGAAAAAAAAACACCACCAAGACAUUUGACUGAGCCACCAAAUCAUGGUCACAAUUAGAUGACCAAAAUCGUCCAUCUACGAUUUGGAUCGUUUCCUCAUCUCUUUAUUUUGGCUCAUUAAUUUUUCACAGAUUCCAUUGUUUCCCUUAUCCCAAUUAGACAAUUAAAGAUAUUCUGUAAAUAUUCUUCUCUAUUCUAAGAAA